UAGCCGUAAACGAUACUCGCUAGGUGUCGGCCACGGUGCGACCGUUGUCGGUGCCGUAGGGAAGCCGUGAAGCGAGCCACCUGGGAAGUACGGCCGUAAGGCUGAAACUUAAAGGAAUUGGCGGGGGAGCACCACAACGGGUGGAGCUUGCGGUUUAAUUGGAUUCAACGCCGGAAAUCUUACCGGGACCGACAGCAACAUGAAGGCCAGGCUGAAGACUUUGCCGGAUUAGCUGAGAGGAGGUGCAUGGCGUAGUCGUGU
rnacentral:rRNA from 1 species